rnacentral:rRNA from 1 species
UGGGGAAUAUUGGACAAUGGGCGCAAGCCUGAUCCAGCCAUGCCGCGUGAGUGAUGAAGGCCCUAGGGUUGUAAAGCUCUCUUUCCGGUGAAGAUAAUGACGGUAACCGGAGAAGAAGCCCCGGCUAACUUCGUGCCAGCAGCCGCGGUAAUACGAAGGGGGCUAGCGUUGUUCGGAUUUACUGGGCGUAAAGCGCACGUAGGCGGACUUUUAAGUCAGGGGUGAAAUCCCGGGGCUCAACCCCGGAACUGCCUUUGAUACUGGAAGUCUUGAGUGUGGUAGAGGUGAGUGGAAUUCCGAGUGUAGAGGUGAAAUUCGUAGAUAUUCGGAGGAACACCAGUGGCGAAGGCGGCUCACUGGACCAUUACUGACGCUGAGGUGCGAAAGCGUGGGGAGCAAACAGG